rnacentral:rRNA from 1 species
UACAGAGGUGGCAAGCGUUGUUCGGAAUUACUGGGCGUAAAGGGCGCGUAGGCGGUUCGUUAAGUCCUGUGUGAAAUCCCCCGGCUCAACUGGGGAACUGCACAGGAAACUAGCGGGCUUGAGUUCGGGAGAGGGAAGCGGAAUUCCGGGUGUAGCGGUGAAAUGCGUAGAUAUCUAUCGGAACGCCGAAGGUGAAGACAGGUCGCUGGGCUUGUACUGACGCUGAGGAACGAAAGCGUGGGGAGCAAACAGG